UACGUAGGGUGCGAGCGUUAAUCGGAAUUACUGGGCGUAAAGCGCGCGCAGGCGGCUAUCCAAGUCAGUGGUGAAAGCCCGGAGCUUAACUCCGGAACUGCCAUUGAAACUGUUUAGCUUGAGGACGAGAGAGGUGAGUGGAAUUCCCAGUGUAGAGGUGAAAUUCGUAGAUAUUGGGAAGAACACCGGUGGCGAAGGCGGCUCACUGGCUCGUUUCUGACGCUCAGGCGCGACAGCGUGGGGAUCAAACAGG
rnacentral:rRNA from 1 species